rnacentral:rRNA from 1 species
UACAGAGGUCUCAAGCGUUGUUCGGAUUCAUUGGGCGUAAAGGGUGUGUAGGUGGCGCGCUAAGUCGGGUGUGAAAUUUCGGAGCUUAACUCCGAAGCUGCAUUCGAUACUGGCGUGCUUGAGGACUGGAGAGGAGACUGGAAUUCAUGGUGUAGCAGUGAAAUGCGUAGAGAUCAUGAGGAAGACCAGUGGCGAAGGCGGGUCUCUGGACAGUUCCUGACACUGAGACACGAAGGCCAGGGGAGCAAACGGG